GAUGAACGCUAGCGGCAGGCUUAAUACAUGCAAGUCGUGGGGCAGCACAGUGUAGCAAUACAUGGGUGGCGACCGGCAAACGGGUGCGGAACACGUACGCAACCUUCCUUCAAGUGGGGGAUAGCCCGGGGAAACCCGGAUUAAUACCCCGUAAUACUGUUGAAUGGCAUCAUUUGACACUUAUAGCUCCGGCGCUUGAA
rnacentral:rRNA from 1 species